UACGUAGGGGGCAAGCGUUAUUCGGAAUUAUUGGGCGUAAAGGGCGCGUAGGCGGCUUGGCAAGUGGAUGGUGAAAUCCCUCGGCUUAACCGAGGAACGGCCGUCCAAACUGCUUCGCUUGAGACCGGGAGAGGUGAGUGGAAUUCCCAGUGUAGCGGUGAAAUGCGUAGAUAUUGGGAGGAACACCAGUGGCGAAGGCGGCUCACUGGACCGGUACUGACGCUGAAGCGCGAAAGCGUGGGGAGCAAACAGG
rnacentral:rRNA from 1 species